rnacentral:rRNA from 1 species
CGUAGGAGACGAGCGUUAUCCGGAUUUACUGGGCGUAAAGCGCGGGUCGGUGGGGACUUAAGUCAUGCGUGAAAGCUCUCGGCUUAACCGGGAGAGGUCGUGUGAAACUGGGGCUCUGGAGGUAGGUAGAGGCAGAUGGAAUUCCGGGGGAGUGGUGAAAUGCGUAGAGAUCCGGAGGAACACCAGUGGCGAAGGCGAUCUGCUAGGCCUGACCUGACACUCAGCCGCGACAGCAUGGGGAGCGAACGGGAUUAGAAACCCCGGUAGUCCAUGCCGUAAACGAUGCAUACUAGACGUUGGGGAGGCAUAGCCUCUUCAGUGUCGAAGCCAACGCGAUAAGUAUGCCGCCUGGGGAGUACGAGCGCAAGCUUA